GAUGAACGCUGGCGGCGUGCCUAAUACAUGCAAGUCGAGCGAACAGACGAGGAGCUUGCUCCUUCGACGUUAGCGGCGGACGGGUGAGUAACACGUAGGUAACCUACCUAUAAGACUGGGAUAACUUCGGGAAACCGGAGCUAAUACCGGAUAAUAUUUCGAACCGCAUGGUUCGAUAGUGAAAGAUGGCUUUGCUAUCACUUAUAGAUGGACCUGCGCCGUAUUAGCUAGUUGGUAAGGUAACGGCUUACCAAGGCAACGAUACGUAGCCGACCUGAGAGGGUGGGCGGCCACACUGGAAAGGAGACACGGCCCAGACUCCUACGGGAGGCGGAAGGGGGGAAUCUCCCAAAAGGGGCGAAGGCCGGACGGAGCAACGCGGGGGGAGUGAUAAAGUUCUUCGAAUCGUAAAACUCUUUUAUGGGGAAAGAAAAAAGGUGAAAGUAUCUGUGCACGUCUGGAGGGUACCUAAUCAGAAGGCCAGGGCAAACUCCGUG
rnacentral:rRNA from 1 species